UACGGAGGGUGCAAGCGUUAAUCGGAAUUACUGGGCGUAAAGGGCGCGUAGGCGGCGUGUCAAGUCAGGCGUGAAAGCCCCGGGCUCAACCUGGGAACCGCGCUUGAGACUGGCAUGCUCGAGUUCGGGAGAGGAUGGUGGAAUUCCCAGUGUAGAGGUGAAAUUCGUAGAUAUUGGGAAGAACACCGAUGGCGAAGGCAGCCAUCUGGACCGACACUGACGCUGAGGCGCGAAAGCGUGGGGGAGCAAACAGG
rnacentral:rRNA from 1 species